rnacentral:rRNA from 1 species
CUACGGGUGGCUGCAGGCGCGAAACCUUCGCAAUGCGCGAAAGCGUGACGAGGGAACCCCAAGUGUGGGCCGACAAGGUCUACUUUUCCCAAGUAUAAAAAGCUUGGGGAAUAAGGGCUGGGCAAGACUGGUGCCAGCCUCCGCGGUAACACCAGCAGCUCGAGUGGUAGUCGUUUUUAUUGGGCUUAGAGCGUCCGUAGUCUGCUUGGCAAGUCCCCUGUGAAAUCCAUCGGCUUAACCGAUGGGCUUGCAGAGGAUACUACCAGGCUAGGAGCCGGGACGGGUUGGAGGUAUUCCUGAGGUAGCGGUGAAAUGCUAUAAUCUUAGGAAGACCACCGGUGGCGAAGGCGUCCAACUGGAACGGGCUCGACGAUGAGGGACGAAAGCUAGGGGAGCGAAUCGGAUUAGAUACCCGAGUAGUC